rnacentral:rRNA from 1 species
GGGGAAUAUUGCACAAUGGGGGAAACUCUGAUGCAGCAACGCCGCGUGAGUGAUGAAGGUCUUCGGAUUGUAAAACUCUGUCUUAUGGGACGAUAAUGACGGUACCAUAGGAGGAAGCCACGGCUAACUACGUGCCAACAGCCGCGGUAAUACGUAGGUGGCAAGCGUUGUCCGGAUUUACUGGGCGUAAAGGAUGUGUAGGCGGAUAUUUAAGUGAGAUGUGAAAUCCCCGGGCUUAACUUGGGGGCUGCAUUUCAAACUGGAUGUCUAGAGUGCAGGAGAGGAAAGCAGAAUUCCUAGUGUAGCGGUGAAAUGCGUAGAGAUUAGGAAGAAUACCAGUGGCGAAGGCGGCUUUCUGGACGGUAACUGACGCUGAGGCAUGAAAGCGUGGGGAGCAAAC